ACGGAGGGUGCAAGCGUCGUUCGGAAUCACUGGGCGUAAAGGGCGCGUAGGCGGUUUGGCAAGUCUGAUGUGAAAGCCCGGGGCUUAACCCCGGAAGUGCAUUGGAUACUGCCAGACUUGAGUUCGGGAGAGGAGGGCAGAAUUCCCGGUGUAGAGGUGAAAUUCGUAGAGAUCGGGAGGAACACCAGUGGCGAAGGCGCCCUUCUGGACAGUUACUGACGCUGAGACGCGAAAGCGUGGGGAGCAAACA
rnacentral:rRNA from 1 species